rnacentral:tRNA from 1 species
GGGAAGGUAGCUCAGCAGUAGAGUUGCAUGCCUUGCAAGCAUGAGGCCCUGGGUUCGAUUCCUCAGCACCA